UACGGGGGGGGCAAGCGUUGUUCGGAAUUACUGGGCGUAAAGGGUUCGUAGGUGGCCCGCUAAGUCAGACGUGAAAUCCCUCAGCUCAACUGGGGAACUGCGUCUGAGACUGGCAGGCUCGAGUGCAGGAGAGGAACGCGGAAUUCCAGGUGUAGCGGUGAAAUGCGUAGAUAUCUGGAGGAACACCGGUGGCGAAGGCGGCAUCCUGGACCAUUACUGACACUGAAAAGCGAAAGCCAGGGGAGCAAACGGG
rnacentral:rRNA from 1 species